rnacentral:rRNA from 1 species
UACGUAGGGGGCAAGCGUUGUCCGGAAUCAUUGGGCGUAAAGCGCGUGUAGGCGGCUUGGUAAGUCCGUUCUGAAAGUCCGGGGCUCAACCCCGGGAGGCGGAUGGAUACUGCUGAGCUCGAGUCCGGAAGAGGCGAGUGGAAUUCCUGGUGUAGCGGUGAAAUGCGCAGAUAUCAGGAGGAACACCGGUGGCGAAGGCGGGUCUCUGGGCCGAUACUGACGCUGAGGAGCGAAGGCGUGGGGAGCGAACAGG